rnacentral:rRNA from 1 species
AGUGGCGAACGGGCGAGUAACACGUGGGCAACCUGCCCCGGAUUACGGGAUAACACGGGGAAACCCGUGCUAAUACCGGAUAGACUACCCGCAUGAAAAGGUUCGCUCCGGGAUGGGCCCGCGCCCCAUUAGCUUGUCGGUGAGGUAACGGCUCACCGAGGCAACGAUGGGUAGCCGGCCUGAGAGGGCGAAUUGCCACACUGGGACUGAGAUACGGCCCAGACUCCUACGGGAGGCAGCAGUGGGGAAUAUUGCGCAAUGGGCGAAAGCCUGACGCAGCGACGCCGCGUGAGCGAAGAAGGCCUUCGGGUUGUAAAGCUCUGUCAGGGGGGACGAAUGACGGUACCUCCAGAGGAAGCCCCGGCCAACUACGUGCCAGCAGCCGCGGUAAUACGUAGGGGGCAAGCGUUGUCCGGAAUCAUUGGGCGUAAAGAGCACGUAGGCGGCCUGUCAAGUCGGAUGUGAAAACCCAUGGCUCAACUGUGGGACUGCAUUCGAAAC